rnacentral:rRNA from 1 species
GUUAGUGGCAGACGGGUGAGUAAUGCAUAGGAAUCUACCUAGUAGUAUGGGAUAGCCACUAGAAAUGGUGGGUAAUACUGUAUAAUCCCUGCGGGGGAAAGAUUUAUCGCUAUUAGAUGAGCCUAUGUUAGAUUAGCUAGUUGGUAGGGUAAAGGCCUACCAAGGCAGUGAUCUAUAGCUGGUCUGAGAGGAUGAUCAGCCACACUGGAACUGAGAUACGGUCCAGACUCCUACGGGAGGCAGCAGUGGGGAAUAUUGGACAAUGGGCGCAAGCCUGAUCCAGCUAUGCCGCGUGAGUGAGGAAGGCCUUAGGGUUGUAAAACUCUUUCAGUGGGGAAGAUAAUGACGGUACCCACAGAAGAAGUCCCGGCAAACUCCGUGCCAGCAGCCGCGGUAAUACGGAGGGGGCAAGCGUUGUUCGGAAUUAUUGGGCGUAAAGGGCAUGUAGGCGGUUCG